AUUGAACGCUGGCGGCAGGCUUAACACAUGCAAGUCGAGCGGGGUGAUGGUGCUUGCACUAUCACUUAGCGGCGGACGGGUGAGUAAUGCUUAGGAAUCUGCCUAUUAGUGGGGGACAACAUCUCGAAAGGGAUGCUAAUACCGCAUACGUCCUACGGGAGAAAGCAGGGGAUCACUUGUGACCUUGCGCUAAUAGAUGAGCCUAAGUCGGAUUAGCUAGUUGGUGGGGUAAAGGCCUACCAAGGCGACGAUCUGUAGCGGGUCUGAGAGGAUGAUCGGCAGCACUGGGGAUGAGAACAGGCCCAGAAUCCUACGGGAGGCAGCAGUGGGGAAUAUUGGACAAUGGGGGGAACCCUGAUCCAGCCAUGCCGCGUGUGUGAAGAAGGCCUUAUGGUUGUAAAGCACUUUAAGCGAGGAGGAGGCUCUUUUGGUUAAUACCCAAGAUGAGUGGACGUUACUCGCAGAAUAAGCACCGGCUAACUCUGUGCCAGCCGCCGCAGUAA
rnacentral:rRNA from 1 species